rnacentral:rRNA from 1 species
ACGAACGCUGGCGGCGUGCUUAACACAUGCACGUCGAACGGAAAGGCCCUGCUUUUGUGGGGUGCUCGAGUGGCGAACGGGUGAGUAACACGUGAGUAACCUGCCCUUGACUUUGGGAUAACUUCAGGAAACUGGGGCUAAUACCGGAUAGGAGCUCCUGCUGCAUGGUGGGGGUUGGAAAGUUUCGGCGGUUGGGGAUGGACUCGCGGCUUAUCAGCUUGUUGGUGGGGUAGUGGCUUACCAAGGCUUUGACGGGUAGCCGGCCUGAGAGGGUGACCGGCCACAUUGGGACUGAGAUACGGCCCAGACUCCUACGGGAGGCAGCAGGGGGGAAUAUUGCACAAUGGGCGGAAGCCUGAUGCAGCAACGCCGCGUGCGGGAUGACGGCCUUCGGGUUGUAAACCGCUUUCGCCUGAGACGAAGCGUGAGUGACGGUAAUGGGUAAAGAAGCACCGGCUAACUACGUG